CGAGCCGAAUUGUAGUCUAGAAAGGCGCCAUCGGACGCGCCGGCCGCUCAAAUCCCUUGGAACAGGGUAUCGGAGAAGGUGAGAAUCCUGUGCCGUGGCCGGUGGCAUCCGCACGAUGCGCUUUUGUCGAGUCGGGUUGCUUGGGAUUGCAGCUUGAAGUGGGUGGUAAAUUCCAUCUAAAGCUAAAUACUGGCGGGAGACCGAUAGCGAACAAGUACCGUGAGGGAAAGAUGCAAAGAACUUUGAAAAGAGAGUUAAAGAGUGCUUGAAAUUGGCAAGAGGAAACCCGGAUGCGCGCAGCAUCGCAGCGUCGACUCAGCCGCGCGCGUGCCUCUUCGACGACCGCAAGGCGUCUUGGCUGUAGCGCGCGGUGCACUUUGGCGUUGCAGAUCAUCCGCCACGAUGGCCGCAGCACAUGGCGUGGGGCAGGGCUUCGGUGAGCCCCGCGUGGCGCUGCGGCCGUCGUGCCGGCUGAUGGAAUGCGCGCAUCCGACCCGUCUAGAAACACGGACCAAGGAGUCUGACACGUGCGCGAGUACUCGGGUGGCAAGCCCGUGUGCGCAAUGAAAGUGAAGGGCGUCCAACGCCAACCGACCUUGAUCUUCUGUGAAGGGUUUGAGUGGAGCGCACUUGCCGGGACCCGAAAGAUGGUGAACUAUGCCUGGAGUUGCUGAAGCCAGAGGAAACUCUGGUGGAGGGCUGUAGCGGUACUGACGUGCAAAUCGUUCGUCACAUCUGGGUAUAGGGGCGAAAGACUAAUCGAACCAUCUAGUAGCUGGUUCCCUCCGAAGUUUCCCUCAGGAUAGCUUGAACGUAUACUGGUAUUGU
rnacentral:rRNA from 1 species